rnacentral:rRNA from 1 species
AGAGUUUGAUACCUGGCUCAGAGUGAACGCUGGCGGGGUGUUAACACAUGCAGUCGAACGGUAACAGACUCUUCGGAGUGCUGACGAGUGGCGAACGGGUGAGUAAGGUAUAGUUAACUUGCCUCUUGGAGAGGGAUAGCCACUGGAAACGGUGAUUAAUACCUCAUACUUCUAUUUAUCAGAAGAUGAAUAGAGAAAGGAGUUAAAUCUGCCAAGGGAUAGGACUAUAUGGUAUCAGUUAGUUGGUGGGGUAAAGGCCUACCAAGACAAUGACGCCUAGCUGGUCUGAGAGGAUGAUCAGCCACACUGGAACUGAGACACGGUCCAGACUCCUACGGGAGGCAGCAGUGGGGAAUAUUGCACAAUGGGGGAAACCUGAUGCAGCAACGUCGCGUGGAGGAAGAAACCCUUAGGGGCGUAAACUCCUUUUAUCAAGGAAGAAGAUGACGGUACUUGAUGAAUAAGCACCGGUAACUCCGUGCCAGCAGCCGCGGUAAUACGGAGGGUGCAAGCGUUACUCGGAAUCACUGGGCGUAAAGCGCAUGUAGGCGGUUAAUUAAGUUAGAAGUGAAAGCCCACAGCUUAACUGUGGAACAGCUUCUAAAACUGAUUAACUAGAGUCUGGGAGAGGAAGAUGGAAUUAGUAGUGUAGGGGUAAAAUCCGUAGAGAUUACUAGGAAUACCGAAAGCGAAGGGAUCUUCUGGAACAGUACUGACGCUGAGAUGCGAAAGCGUGGGGAGCAAACAGGAUUAGAUACCCUGGUAGUCCACGCCCUAAACGGAUGAAUGUUAGUCGUUGGAGUGCUAGCCACUUCAGUGAUGCAGCUAACGCAUUAAACAUUCCGCCUGGGGAGUACGGCCGCAAGGUUUAAAACUCAAAGGAAUAGACGGGGACCCCGACAAGUGGUGGAGCAUGUGGUUUAAUUCGAAGGAUACGCGAAGAACCUUACCUGGCCUUGCCAUAUACCAGGAACUACCAGAGAUGGUGGGGUGCCUUCGGGAACUGGUAUACCAGGUUGCUGCACGGUUGUCGUCAGGCUCCGUGUCGUGAGAAUGUUGGGGGUUUAAAGGUCCCCCGGCAAAGGAAGGCGGCAAACCCCUUCGGUUGAACUUAAGGUUACAUAAACAGGGCAUAAGGGCUUGGAGGGGAACUCCCUCAAAGUCAAGGAACUUGGCCUUCCGGGAAAAGGGGGGAGGGAAACGUUGGGGGAACCAGAACGUUCCAAGGUUCCAUCUUUGGGGCCCUUAAAGGGGCCCAAGG